rnacentral:rRNA from 1 species
ACUCCUACGGGAGGCAGCAGUGGGGAAUAUUGCACAAUGGGCGCAAGCCUGAUGCAGCCAUGCCGCGUGUGUGAAGAAGGCCUUCGGGUUGUAAAGCUCUUUCAGCGAGGAGGAUAAUGACGUUACUCGCAGAAGAAGCCCCGGCUAACUUCGUGCCAGCAGCCGCGGUAAUACGAAGGGGGCUAGCGUUGUUCGGAAUCACUGGGCGUAAAGCGCACGUAGGCGGACUUUUAAGUCAGGGGUGAAAUCCCGGGGCUCAACCCUGGAACUGCCUUUGAUACUGGAAGUCUUGAGUCCGAGAGAGGUGAGUGGAAUUCCGAGUGUAGAGGUGAAAUUCGUAGAUAUUCGGAGGAACACCAGUGGCGAAGGCGGCUCACUGGCUCGGUACUGACGCUGAGGUGCGAAAGCGUGGGGGAGCAAACAGGAUUAGAUACCCUGGUAGGCUCUGCU